rnacentral:rRNA from 1 species
UGAGGGAAUAUUGGUCAAUGGGCGGGAGCCUGAACCAGCCAAGCCGCGUGAGGGAGGAAGGCCCUAUGGGUCGUAAACCUCUUUUGUCAGGGAACAAAAGCGAGUAUGUAUACUAGUCUGAGUGUACCUGAAGAAAAAGCAUCGGCUAACUCCGUGCCAGCAGCCGCGGUAAUACGGAGGGAUGCGAGCGUUAUCCGGAUUUAUUGGGUUUAAAGGGUGCGUAGGCGGCGGUGCAAGUCAGCGGUAAAAGCCCGGGGCUCAACCCCGGCGAGCCGUUGAAACUGCAGUGCUAGAGAAGGCGAGAGGUACGCGGAAUGCGCAGUGUAGCGGUGAAAUGCUUAGAUAUUGCGCAGAACUCCGAUUGCGAAGGCAGCGUACUGGCGCCUGACUGACGCUGAGGCACGAAAGCGUGGGGAUCGAACAGGAUUAGAUACCC